GUGAAUAUAGGACGUCCAACUUAACUUGGAGUCCGAACUCUCACUUUCUAACCCUGUGCACUUGUUUGGGAUAGUAACUCUCGCAAGAGAGCGAACUCCUAUUCACUUAUAAACACAAAGUCUAUGAAUGUAUUAAAUUUUAUAACAAAAU
rnacentral:misc_RNA from 1 species